rnacentral:rRNA from 1 species
UGAACGCUAGCUACAGGCUUAACACAUGCAAGUCGAGGGGCAGCAUGGUCUUAGCUUGCUAAGGCCGAUGGCGACCGGCGCACGGGUGAGUAACACGUAUCCAACCUGCCGUCUACUCUUGGACAGCCUUCUGAAAGGAAGAUUAAUACAAGAUGGCAUCAUGAGUCCGCAUGUUCACAUGAUUAAAGGUAUUCCGGUAGACGAUGGGGAUGCGUUCCAUUAGAUAGUAGGCGGGGUAACGGCCCACCUAGUCUUCGAUGGAUAGGGGUUCUGAGAGGAAGGUCCCCCACAUUGGAACUGAGACACGGUCCAAACUCCUACGGGAGGCAGCAGUGAGGAAUAUUGGUCAAUGGGCGAGAGCCUGAACCAGCCAAGUAGCGUGAAGGAUGACUGCCCUAUGGGUUGUAAACUUCUUUUAUAAAGGAAUAAAGUCGGGUAUGGAUACCCGUUUGCAUGUACUUUAUGAAUAAGGAUCGGCUAACUCCGUGCCAGCAGCCGCGGUAAUACGGAGGAUCCGAGCGUUAUCCGGAUUUAUUGGGUUUAAAGGGAGCGUAGAUGGAUGUUUAAGUCAGUUGUGAAAGUUUGCGGCUCAACCGUAAAAUUGCAGUUGAUACUGGAUAUCUUGAGUGCAGUUGAGGCAGGCGGAAUUCGUGGUGUAGCGGUGAAAUGCUUAGAUAUCACGAAGAACUCCGAUUGCGAAGGCAGCCUGCUAAGCUGCAACUGACAUUGAGGCUCGAAAGUGUGGGUAUCAAACAGGAUUAGAUACCCUGGUAGUCCACACGGUAAACGAUGAAUACUCGCUGUUUGCGAUAUACAGCAAGCGGCCAAGCGAAAGCGUUAAGUAUUCCACCUGGGGAGUACGCCGGCAACGGUGAAACUCAAAGGAAUUGACGGGGGCCCGCACAAGCGGAGGAACAUGUGGUUUAAUUCGAUGAUACGCGAGGAACCUUACCCGGGCUUAAAUUGCAGAUGAAUUACGGUGAAAGCCGUAAGCCGCAAGGCAUCUGUGAAGGUGCUGCAUGGUUGUCGUCAGCUCGUGCCGUGAGGUGUCGGCUUAAGUGCCAUAACGAGCGCAACCCUUGUUGUCAGUUACUAACAGGUUCUGCUGAGGACUCUGACAAGACUGCCAUCGUAAGAUGUGAGGAAGGUGGGGAUGACGUCAAAUCAGCACGGCCCUUACGUCCGGGGCUACACACGUGUUACAAUGGGGGGUACAGAGGGCCGCUACCACGCGAGUGGAUGCCAAUCCCCAAAACCUCUCUCAGUUCGGACUGGAGUCUGCAACCCGACUCCACGAAGCUGGAUUCGCUAGUAAUCGCGCAUCAGCCACGGCGCGGUGAAUACGUUCCCGGGCCUUGUACACACCGCCCGUCAAGCCAUGGGAGCCGGGGGUACCUGAAGUGCGUAACCGCGAGGAGCGCCCUAGGGUAAAACUGGUGACUGGGGCUAAGU